rnacentral:rRNA from 1 species
GAUGAACGCUGGCGGCAUGCCUAAUACAUGCAAGUCGAACGAAGUGAAGGUAGCUUGCUACUCGAUCUUAGUGGCGAACGGGUGAGUAACACGUAGGUAACCUGCCUAUAUGACGGGGAUAACUAUUGGAAACGAUAGCUAAUACCGGAUAGGUAAAGAGAAGGCAUCUUCCCUUUAUUAAAGUUGGGAUACAACACAUAUGGAUGGACCUGCGGCGCAUUAGCUAGUUGGUGGGGUAACGGCCUACCAAGGCGACGAUGCGUAGCCGACCUGAGAGGGUGAUCGGCCACACUGGGACUGAGACACGGCCCAGACUCCUACGGGAGGCAGCAGUAGGGAAUUUUCCACAAUGGACGCAAGUCUGAUGGAGCAACGCCGCGUGUGCGAAGAAGGCCUUCGGGUUGUAAAGCACUGUUGUAAGGGAAGAAUGGAUAGGAGAGGAAAUGCUCUUAUUAUGACGGUACCUUACCAGAAAGCCACGGCUAACUACGUGCCAGCAGCCGCCGUAAAAC